rnacentral:rRNA from 1 species
UACGAAGGGUGCAAGCGUUACUCGGAAUUACUGGGCGUAAAGCGUGCGUAGGCGGUUUGUUAAGUCCUCUGUGAAAGCCCUGGGCUCAACCUGGGAAUUGCAGUGGAUACUGGCAAGCUAGAGUGCGGUAGAGGAUGGUGGAAUUCCCGGUGUAGCGGUGAAAUGCGUAGAGAUCGGGAGGAACACCCGUGGCGAAGGCGGCCAUCUGGACCAGCACUGACGCUGAGGCACGAAAGCGUGGGGAGCAAACAGG